ncrna:Schistosoma mansoni type-P1 twister ribozyme
UCGAAAACUCUGCCUGUAGCUUUUCUAGAGUUACUGCCGGUACCAAGCCCGGGUAAAAGAGUAGGGUUGG